rnacentral:rRNA from 1 species
GAUCCUGGCUCAGAGCGAACGCUGGCGGCAGGUCUAACACAUGCAAGUCGAACGGACCCUUCGGGGGUUAGUGGCGGACGGGUGAGUAACACGUGGGAACGUGCCUUUAGGUUCGGAAUAGCUCCUGGAAACGGGUGGUAAUGCCGAAUGUGCCCUUCGGGGGAAAGAUUUAUCGCCUUUAGAGCGGCCCGCGUCUGAUUAGCUAGUUGGUGAGGUAACGGCUCACCAAGGCGACGAUCAGUAGCUGGU